CCGGUAGCUCAGUUGGAAGAGCAACGGACUUUUAAUCCGUGGGUCGUGGGUUCGAAUCCCACCCGG
rnacentral:tRNA from 1 species